rnacentral:rRNA from 2 species
UUAAGCGACUAAGCGUACACGGUGGAUGCCUAGGCAGUCAGAGGCGAUGAAGGGCGUGCUAAUCUGCGAAAAGCGUCGGUAAGGUGAUAUGAACCGUUAUAACCGACGAUACCCGAAUGGGGAAACCCAGUGCAAUUCGUUGCACUAUUGCAUGGUGAAUACAUAGCCAUGCAAGGCGAACCGGGGGAACUGAAACAUCUAAGUACCCCGAGGAAAAGAAAUCAACCGAGAUUCCCCUAGUAGCGGCGAGCGAACGGGGAGGAGCCCAGAGUCUGAAUCAGUUUGUGUGUUAGUGGAAGCGUCUGGAAAGUCGCAGGGUACAGGGUGAUACUCCCGUACACAAAACACACUUGCUGUGAACUCGAUGAGUAGGGCGGGACACGUGACAUCCUGUCUGAAUAUGGGGGGACCAUCCUCCAAGGCUAAAUACUCCUGACUGACCGAUAGUGAACCAGUACCGUGAGGGAAAGGCGAAAAGAACCCCGGCGAGGGGAGUGAAAUAGAACCUGAAACCGUGUACGUACAAGCAGUGGGAGCACCUUCGUGGUGUGACUGCGUACCUUUUGUAUAAUGGGUCAGCGACUUAUAUUUUGUAGCAAGGUUAACCGAAUAGGGGAGCCGUAGGGAAACCGAGUCUUAACUGGGCGUCUAGUUGCAAGGUAUAGACCCGAAACCCGGUGAUCUAGCCAUGGGCAGGUUGAAGGUUGGGUAACACUAACUGGAGGACCGAACCGACUAAUGUUGAAAAAUUAGCGGAUGACUUGUGGCUGGGGGUGAAAGGCCAAUCAAACCGGGAGAUAGCUGGUUCUCCCCGAAAGCUAUUUAGGUAGCGCCUCGUGAACUCAUCUUCGGGGGUAGAGCACUGUUUCGGCUAGGGGGCCAUCCCGGCUUACCAAACCGAUGCAAACUCCGAAUACCGAAGAAUGUUAUCACGGGAGACACACGGCGGGUGCUAACGUCCGUCGUGAAGAGGGAAACAACCCAGACCGCCAGCUAAGGUCCCAAAGUCAUGGUUAAGUGGGAAACGAUGUGGGAAGGCAUAGACAGCCAGGAUGUUGGCUUAGAAGCAGCCAUCAUUUAAAGAAAGCGUAAUAGCUCACUGGUCGAGUCGGCCUGCGCGGAAGAUGUAACGGGGCUAAACCAUGCACCGAAGCUGCGGCAGCGACACUUAGGUGUUGUUGGGUAGGGGAGCGUUCUGUAAGCCGUUGAAGGUGACCUGUGAGGGUUGCUGGAGGUAUCAGAAGUGCGAAUGCUGACAUAAGUAACGAUAAUGCGGGUGAAAAACCCGCACGCCGGAAGACCAAGGGUUCCUGUCCAACGUUAAUCGGGGCAGGGUGAGUCGACCCCUAAGGCGAGGCUGAAAAGCGUAGUCGAUGGGAAACAGGUUAAUAUUCCUGUACUUGGUGUUACUGCGAAGGGGGGACGGAGAAGGCUAGGCUAGCCGGGCGACGGUUGUCCCGGUUUAAGCAUGUAGGCGGAGCGACUUGGUAAAUCCGGUUGCUUAUCAACGCUGAGGUGUGAUGACGAGUCACUACGGUGAUGAAGUAGUUGAUGCCAAGCUUCCAGGAAAAGCCUCUAAGCAUCAGGUAACAUUAAAUCGUACCCCAAACCGACACAGGUGGUCAGGUAGAGAAUACUCAGGCGCUUGAGAGAACUCGGGUGAAGGAACUAGGCAAAAUGGUGCCGUAACUUCGGGAGAAGGCACGCUGGCAUUAGGUAAUGGGACUUGCUCCCGGCGCCGAAGCCAGUCGCAGAUACCAGCUGGCUGCAACUGUUUAAUAAAAACACAGCACUGUGCAAACACGAAAGUGGACGUAUACGGUGUGACGCCUGCCCGGUGCUGGAAGGUUAAUUGAUGGGGUCAGCCGCAAGGCGAAGCUCUUGAUCGAAGCCCCAGUAAACGGCGGCCGUAACUAUAACGGUCCUAAGGUAGCGAAAUUCCUUGUCGGGUAAGUUCCGACCUGCACGAAUGGCGUAAUGAUGGCCAGGCUGUCUCCACCCGAGACUCAGUGAAAUUGAACUCGCUGUGAAGAUGCAGUGUACCCGCGGCAAGACGGAAAGACCCCGUGAACCUUUACUAUAGCUUGACACUGAACAUUGAGCCUUGAUGUGUAGGAUAGGUGGGAGGCAUUGAAGUGUGGACGCCAGUCUGCAUGGAGCCAACCUUGAAAUACCACCCUUUAAUGUUUGAUGUUCUAACUCGGCCCCGUAAUCCGGGGUGAGGACAGUGUCUGGUGGGUAGUUUGACUGGGGCGGUCUCCUCCCAAAGAGUAACGGAGGAGCACGAAGGUUAGCUAAUCACGGUCGGACAUCGUGAGGUUAGUGCAAAGGCAUAAGCUAGCUUGACUGCGAGAGUGACGGCUCGAGCAGGUACGAAAGUAGGUCUUAGUGAUCCGGUGGUUCUGAAUGGAAGGGCCAUCGCUCAACGGAUAAAAGGUACUCCGGGGAUAACAGGCUGAUACCGCCCAAGAGUUCAUAUCGACGGCGGUGUUUGGCACCUCGAUGUCGGCUCAUCACAUCCUGGGGCUGAAGUAGGUCCCAAGGGUAUGGCUGUUCGCCAUUUAAAGUGGUACGCGAGCUGGGUUUAGAACGUCGUGAGACAGUUCGGUCCCUAUCUGCCGUGGGCGUUGGAAGAUUGAGAGGGGCUGCUCCUAGUACGAGAGGACCGGAGUGGACGAAUCACUGGUGUUCGGGUUGUCAUGCCAAUGGCAUUGCCCGGUAGCUAAAUUCGGAAGAGAUAACCGCUGAAAGCAUCUAAGCGGGAAACUUGCCUCGAGAUGAGUCUUCCCUGGGGCUUUAAGCCCCCUGAAGGAACGUUAAAGACUAUGACGUUGAUAGGCUGGGUGUGUAAGUGCAGCGAUGCAUUGAGCUAACCAGUACUAAUGAUCCGUGAGGCUUAACCUU